GACGAACGCUGGCGGCGUGCCUAAUACAUGCAAGUCGAGCGGACGGAUGGGAGCUUGCUCCCAGACCGUCAGCGGCGGACGGGUGAGUAACACGUGGGCAACCUGCCUGUAAGACUGGGAUAACUCCGGGAAACCGGGGCUAAUACCGGAUAACUCUUUCCCUCACAUGAGGGAAAGCUGAAAGAUGGCAUCUCGCUAUCACUUACAGAUGGGCCCGCGGCGCAUUAGCUAGUUGGUGAGGUAACGGCUCACCAAGGCGACGAUGCGUAGCCGACCUGAGAGGGGGAUCGGCCACACUGGGACUGAGACACGGCCCAGACUCCUACGGGAGGCAGCAGUAGGGAAUCUUCCGCAAUGGACGAAAGUCUGACGGAGCAACGCCGCGUGAGUGAUGAAGGUUUUCGGAUCGUAAAACUCUGUUGUCAGGGAAGAACAAGUACCGGAGCAACUGCCGGUACCUUGACGGUACCUGACCAGAAAGCCACGGCUAACUACGUG
rnacentral:rRNA from 1 species